rnacentral:rRNA from 1 species
GUGGGGAAUAUUGGGCAAUGGGGGCAACCCUGACCCAGCGACGCCGCGUGAGGGAAGAAGGCCUUAGGGUCGUAAACCUCUGUUGUGUGGGAAGAAGGAAGUGACGGUACCACACGAGGAAGUCCCGGCUAACUACGUGCCAGCAGCCGCGGUAAUACGUAGGGGACGAGCGUUGUCCGGAAUUACUGGGCGUAAAGGGCGCGUAGGCGGUCAUUUAAGUCAGCUGUGAAAUGGUCCGGCUCAACCGGAUCAUGCGGUUGAAACUGGAUGACUGGAGUGCUGGAGAGGCAAGUGGAAUUCCCAGUGUAGCGGUGAAAUGCGUAGAUAUUGGGAAGAACACCGGUGGCGAAGGCGACUUGCUGGCCAACAACUGACGCUGAGGCGCGAAAGCCAGGGGAGCAAACGGGAUUAGAAACCCCAGUAGUCC